CGAUAUAACAGGUUCCCAAAGCCACUAAUGGGGAUGAAAAAGAUAAGACAGUGGUGGAAGGGAGUGGCAAGCUCGACUUUGGAGAGUAUGAGCUUGAACUUUGGGAUCUGAGGUAUAACUCUAUGCUUCAAGGACACGUCAAGAAAAUGCAGGGUGGACGGAAUAACAGUAAAUCAUGGUUGUGCGAUUGGCUCAGACCCAUGUGCCUGCCAAUAACAAUCAUCGUCACAUUGUCAAUGCUGAUUGUUGUG